CCCCCCCCCGUCGACAACGCUCGCAGUGGGUCACUUUCCUAUCUCAGGGGGGCAUCAUGAAGGAGUUAUGGGCAUAUUUUGAGUUCUGAUAUUGGGCUGGUUUUUGGGCUGGUUUUAUUGGCCAUUGGGCUUGUUUUGGGCUGGUUUUAUUGGCCAUUGGGCUUGUUUUGGGCUGGUUUUAUUGGCCAUUGGGCUUGUUUUGUCACACAGACCUGGCAACCCUGACUCCGCCACAUGACAUUGGACGUGUUCACAAUUUAUGAAGGAGCGGUGGGCUGCAGUGAAGACCGGGGAGCCACUGGGGGUUCAGUGUCUUGCUCAAGGACACUUGACAUGCAGAUGUGUCAAAUAAAUGUGUGAUUUUAAAGAUAACUGUCGACCGAUCACAAAGAAGCUAGCCGGCCACGGCAGGGGGACAGCUCUCCUGGUGACCUCCAUCGGCAAAGAGGUUGUUCAGAUCCUGAACAGUGUCCUGACGGUGCAGGAGGCGCCGGGACUGGACACAAUGGUCUCUGGAGUGAUGGAGCGGUACCGGCAGGCAGCUGUAACACCCCAGACCAGGUUUGCAUCCUGGCCAGACCUCCACAUACGACUGGACAUAUAUGUCACUUUAUGCCGCGGCUGACCGUUGACUGCACUACCGAUGCUCAGACCACUAACCGGGUCCGGACCCAGACGCCUUUGUCUCUGGACCGUGGACCGAGAACCGAUAUAUAAUUCUGAAUUAUUAUUAUUAAAUAUUCAUGUUUGGCUUCUCCCCGGCGCAGCUUUACGGUUCUUGCUCUGCAAUCCAGGAAACACACCAACCAAUUACAUGCAUUGGAAAUCAUCUCAUGUGAUCCUACUCAGCCAAUCACACGUGUGUAUUCCCUUAAGCCCCACCCUCGACUCGAGUGCCAUAUUCACACACACAGGAGUGACAGGAGAGACCUGUUAGAUGGAAAAGGUACGUGAGUCAAAGAAGUUAAUUCACUUGGCGCUCUAAAAAGAAAAAUGUGGACAGCUUUACCUGAUAAUGGACAGACCUGUACAUGUUUAUUAUUCCCACAACCAGUUUAAAAGCAGUAUGUCUCAUGUUCACCCAUAUUAAAAGGAGUGAUGUGAAGCACGGCUACGAGACAAAGCACAGGUCUUUUGAGCAAAUAUACCCACUCGCAUCCAAAAUUAAAGGCACAGAAAAAUUAACCUAGGAGCCCAAUAUGAUCAGAAUCCUGACUCAUGAAUUAACUGCCCAACAAUAAUGUUAACAGAGCAGAAAUGAGCUGAAACCAGUGGUUUAAUAACUGCAGAUAAAGUCCAUGCUUACACAAUUUCUCUUCUUAGAUGACAAGAAUACAAUAUCUUGGCUCUUUUGAGUAUUGCGCUUGACGCUCGAAUAAACUGAAUUUAAAGCUGUCACAUUUUUCAACGCUUUCUGUUUUAAAUCCAGCCUUUAUUUUACUUUAGAUAAGUAAAGAUAAUGUAUUUAUUAUUUAUAAUUAAUCCAGUUAAAUCUCUAACAAUAAAUAUUGUUUGAAUGUUA